AAUCAAGAAAAACUCACGAAUCCUGGAGGAGCAAUUUUAGAAAUGCUUUGAAUAAGGAAAAAGAAGUCUUAGAACUAUGAGAGGACAGGGGAUAUAAAAGAUUUUAUGUUGAUAAUUUUGAUCUAGUAGCCAAUUAAGAAAUCUAGGGUCUAUGAAAAUAUAUGAAUAAAAAAGAAAGGAAAUGAGUUUAGGUACAUCUUAGAAAUGGGAAUAAUUUGUAAAUGAUGAUAAAACCACAAAUAGUAAUAAAAGGAUGAACUUAAUACCUUUUUUGGAAAGCUCAUAGGCAGAUGGCAGAAAGGGGUAUAUCUUAAUGUUAUUUAAGGAGUAGUUGGAAAAUGAAGAAAUGAGAAGAUUAGGCACUAGGAUCUAGAUUAGAAAGGAAUUGAAUAAAAAGGAAGGCACACAGCAUCUAGCCAGCAAAGGAUUGAGGUGGAGAGGCAUUUUACUACCCAUGUACACUGAGUAAGGAGGACAGAAAAUCAAUAGAUUUCAGGAAUUAAGAGAAAAUUGAAGUAUCAGAUUUAUUUUGCAAAGUAAGGGAAAAACUAGUUGAAUGGAAUCGUUUUUAGAUCCUAGGAAAACCAUUCACAAAUGAUGGAGAAAGGUCGUAGGAAGAAUUUGAAAGAUAAAGUAGAUUGGCAAGAGAGGAAAAAUACCUAUCUAAGAAUGUAAGCAGUGAUACACAAUGUAUACAUGUAUUGAAACACCACAGUGUACCCCAUAAAUAUGCACAGUUAUGCAUCAUUAAAAAACUUUUUUUAAUGUGGAUAAUGAGCUAGAAGAUGAAGUCAGAUGAAUUCAUAGUCCUUAUGAGGGGAAGGAAGGCAAAAAACCUCUGGAACUUCCAAAAAGAGGACAAAGGCCUCAGCCUCUUGUUUGCAGAGAAUAUGGAGGACAAAAGCGUCUUAAAGUUGUGGCUCUUUUUAUUCCUGUUUAUUAAUCCAGAUGUACCUCUGUUGUUCUCUUUCCUACAGUGGCGCUGAUUUCUAAUCUUGGGUCAAAGCCCAGGUUGGUUUUUUAGAAGAGAAGCCCUUAACAGAAGAUUCUCUAAUCUUAUCAACAUUUCUGGAGUAGCAGGACUUCUUUUUGGUCUGGAAAGCGGGUUUUAGUUGCUACGCAGAAUGUCAAAUGUGUAGUUGCACAAGGAAAGGUUGA
rnacentral:lncRNA from 10 species